rnacentral:lncRNA from 1 species
AUAAAGCAGACUUGGAUCUCAAGAUCAACUUGAAGGAAAUCCUGACACUUUUCUGGAAUUAUUCAUUGGGAGAUCCUAAGGGGCUAAAACAAGGUCCAGAAAAUUGGUGGCAAUCAAUAAGUUUAUUGUUAACUACAUGACGAGGAAACCGAUGCUUUGUGAAUUCAGAUAUGCUGGGGCAAAUUACUUUUACUUAUUUAUGAGUUGCCGGGUUUCAUUAUCAAAUGAAUCUUCACAUCCAUACAUCUCACCUUCUAUGCUGGCUCCAGCGAUGAUGUGCUCUCUUUCCAUCUGGCAGGAAACAAACAAAACAAAAUAAAAUACAAACAAAAACAGUUUUCAGAAAUU